UACGAAGGGGGCUAGCGUUGUUCGGAAUUACUGGGCGUAAAGGGCGCGUAGGCGGUGUGUCAAGUCAGGCGUGAAAGCCCCGGGCUCAACCUGGGAACCGCGCUUGAGACUGGCACGCUCGAGUUCGGGAGAGGAUGGUGGAAUUCCCAGUGUAGAGGUGAAAUUCGUAGAUAUUGGGAAGAACACCGAUAGCGAAGGCAGCCAUCUGGACCGACACUGACGCUGAGGCGCGAAAGCUAGGGGAGCAAACAGG
rnacentral:rRNA from 1 species